rnacentral:rRNA from 1 species
GACGAACGCUGGCGGCGUGCCUAAUACAUGCCAGUUGAGCGCUGAAGGUUGGUACUUGUACCAACUGGAUGAGCAGCGAACGGGUGAGUAACGCGUGGGGAAUCUGCCUUUGAGCGGGGGACAACAUUUGGAAACGAAUGCUAAUGCCGCAUAAAAACUUUAAACACAAGUUUUAAGUUUGAAAGAUGCAAUUGCAUCACUCAAAGAUGAUCCCGCGUUGUAUUAGCUAGUUGGUGAGGUAAAGGCUCACCAAGGCGAUGAUACAUAGCCGACCUGAGAGGGUGAUCGGCCACAUUGGGACUGAGACACGGCCCAAACUCCUACGGGAGGCAGCAGUAGGGAAUCUUCGGCAAUGGACGAAAGUCUGACCGAGCAACGCCGCGUGAGUGAAGAAGGUUUUCGGAUCGUAAAACUCUGUUGGUAGAGAAGAACGUUGGUGAGAGUGGAAAGCUCAUCAAGUGACGGUAACUACCCAGAAAGGGACGGCUAACUACGUG